UUUUUUUUGGUCAAAUUGGUAAAUAGGAAUCGUGAGUCGUGAGGGGCCGGACCCUCUUAUAUAUGGUGAUGUCUGAUGUAUCUUCUCGUUAAGAUCGGCAAAAAAAGCUCUCCAGCACCCUCAAUCAUCUAUCUCUUCCUCUUCUCACAUCUCUCUCGUUUCUCUCCGUCAACAAAACAGACCCAUCUGCAUUCACACUUGUUCUCCACAAAGUGUGUUCAAAACCCCUUUAAGGGCUGUAUCUUUUCAACCUCAUGGAUCUAGCAGUCUGCCUUUUGGAAUGAAUGCUAGAGAAGAUGCAGAUGUACUUCUUCCAGAGCAUAUCUCACAUUGAGCUCAUAUAGAGAUUACACGCUUUAUAUAGAAUGGAAAACAGGCAAAAUAUGAGUGCUAGCCGAGGAAAAGAUAGUGUUUCUAUGAAGUCUGUUGAUCAAAGAGAACGCAUGAUGACCCGUCGCUUAAAAAAUCGGGAACGACAACGUAGAUACAGGGCUAGGAAGCGUCUUCAAGCAGAUAUGGAAAGAGGCUCCAUCUUGAACCAAGCAUCUCCAGUGCCAGUAGAAUUGCAGUUAAAUGAGGUUUGUUGCACCACUCGGGUCUAUUGUAAACGAAAUUGGAAGAAAGAUGCCAGGGUCUGUGCUUCUCAGGAGCAACUCAAAUCUGCUGAACCUGUCACCCCCACUGUGCCCUUGGUUAAUGAAAGUGAAGCACCCAGUUUACUUCCUGAAAUGAAGGCAAAACAACUGCUAGAAAAUGAAAUGCAGUCUGAAAAUUCUCGUAGCUUGGACAGUCGUGAAGCAAAUGGAACUGUGCAUCGGCGAAGAGAUUGGAAAGCAGAUGCAAGAAAUAAGAAGAACUAGAAUGGCAGUUUCAUGGUUCCUUUUGUGGAGUAGGAUGAACAUUUUACAGAUACCAAAUUUAGUGGCUGAUGAAACAUGAAGUGUUGGAAUGUGAAUAUCUUCAAAGAAGUUGUAAUGGCUAAAGGACUCAUAAUUGUGUGAUGGUAGAAGGGCUUCAAAUAAUAUAUCCAUCAGUUGACAAUUUGGUUAUCUGUCAUACUAAAAGACGAUGCAGAACAGCCCUGGGGAAACCUGCUUUAAGUUGGAAAAUUCCGGGUGAGUAGGAUAUGUCAUUGGUAUAGAACUAUUACAGAUGAGAAUGCUAGGGUGAUUAAAUUUUAACCCCUGUAUGUGAGAAGCAACAUACAUUUGCUGUGCGGCUUAUGUCAGGCAGCACAUGUUUGUUUCUGAAUUCUGAAUUCUGAAUUCUGAAUAUAACAUCUGAAUUUUCUAUUGGCAAGUCCAUUUAGAUAAUUACAAGACUAUGUAAUUCAUAAAA